rnacentral:pre_miRNA from 1 species
CUACUACUCCCUCCGUCCGAAAAUACUUGUCAUCAAAAUGGACAAAAAGGGAUGUAUCUAGAACUAAAAUACAUCUAGAUACAUCCCCUUUUAUUCAUUUUGAUGACAAGUAUUUCCGGACGGAGGGAGUACUAA